CAGACUCAUUCCUAGCCUACCAUCCCUAUUGGCUCAUAGAAAAGCUCUCAUCUUAGUCCUCUCAUCUGAGUGUUACUAUAAUAAAAUACCUGAGACUAGGUUACUUAUAAAGAACAGAAAUUUACUUCUCACAGUUCUGGAGGCUGGAAGUUCAAGAUAAAGGCACUGGCAGGUUUGGCAUCUGCUAAGGGUCUAGUCUCUGCUUUUGAGAUGGUACCUUGUUGCUGCAUCCUCUCAAGUGAAGCAAGGCUCUGCCCUCAUGAAUCAACAGGCCUUGCCGUGCUUCCCUUCCCUUUCCAGUGUAUUAGUAAUCAUGCCUAUGGAAUAAAGUCUCCUUGAAACCCCCAAAAUACAGGAUUUGGAGAACUUACGGUUGGCUGAACACGUGGAGGUUGUUGGAGUGUGCUGCAUGUGGAGAGGACAUAGAAGCCCAGCGUCCCUUCCCCACACCUCUCCAUAUGCACAUCUUCGUCUGUAUCCUUGUAAUAUCCCUUAUAAUAAACCUGUGAAGGUAAGACAGUGCUUCCCUGGGUUCUUUGGGCCCCACAAGCAAAUUAAAGCUGAAGAGGGAGGGGUGGGUGACCUGAGUUGGUCAGAGGCGCAGAUAAAACAAUCAAGGGCUUAUGACUGGCAUCCAAAACGAGGGGAUGGUGUUGGGGAUUGAGCCCCCAAUCUGUGGGAUAUGAUGCUAUUUCCAAGUAGAUAAUGACAGAAUUAAAUUGGAUUAGAGGAUGACCUGCUGGUGUCCACUGCUGCAGAACUGAUUGCUUGCUUGCUGUUAGAGAGAAACUCCUACACCUUUUGAGGUCAUAGAAAUCCUCUGUGCUGAUUGUGAAGUGAGAGUAGAGGGGAAAACAGUCCAGUGUUUUUCUUCACACACAGCCAUUAAGUUUCAAUGUGAAUUUUGGAAGGGAUGCAAACAUUCCAACCAUAACAUCUCUCUUGAUUGGCUGAUGAAUUGAUUGAUUGGAAUCCUCUCUGCAAUUUCUCUAACCUACUGCUGGAACUCAGGGAAACAGUGUACUUCUACAGAGAGCUCUCCAAUUUUUAGAUAAUUAUUUCUUACAUUAAACCCAAAGUAGUGUUCCUAUAGCUGCUCCAAUGUUCUCAGGUAUUUCCUGUGGGGCCAUAUAGAAAAAAAAGUCAAUUUCUUUCCUAAUACAAUAGCCAUAAAGUUGUUAUCAUUACUCAUGAGUCUUCACUUUGCUAGGAAAGACAGUCUAUUCCUCAUUAGGUGGCUAUAAGAUACUAAACUACCUAGUCACUUUUUUUUUUAAGACACAUUCUAGUUUGACAAUGUCUUUAAAGAAUAAAUUAUGUUUGUCAUCUCUUUGUCACUAUAGCAAAAUACUUGGGGGUAAUUAAUUUGUAAAAAGAAGAGGUUUAUUUUGCCUCAUGGUUUUUUAAUUUUCUGGUCCAAGACUAUUGUCAUUGAUUUGGGUCUUUGGCAAGGGUGGCACAUCAAGGCAAGAGCGUAUAGUGGAACAGAACUCUCACCUCAUGAGCCAGGAAGCAAAAAGAGAAAGGCAGAAACUGGAUUCCCACAAUCCCCUUUGAGGUUAUACCCCCAAUGACCUAGAGAUAUUCCACUAGGCCCCACCUCCCAUUUCCCAGUAGCUCUACCCUGGAGACCAAGCCAUGACCACAUAGACCUCGGGAAAAAUUCAACAUCCAAAUCAGAGAAUAGGUGUUUAAAUAUUUAAAAAUAGAUGUGCUUUGCCAAUGCAGAAAGUGGCGGGAACAACCUUGCACCCCUUCCCUAAUUUCAAUUUCUAUUAAUGCAUCCUUAAAUUUGAAUAUUUUUUUUAAAAAAAUAAUAUCCCAUUUUUGACUCUCAUUGAACUUUAAAUCUUUUUCAAGUGAACUACUGUCAAUCUAGGACUUUAUUACCUUGUAUUUAAGUAGUUGAUUCUUUGAACUUAGAUGCAAAAUUUAACAUUUAACCUUAUUAAGUUGUAUAUUGUUAAUUUCAUUCCAUCAUUCUCCUUUCCAAGGUCUUUUAAUUCAAGUUUGAUUCUUUAAUAUGGCUUAUCAGUUUUAUCUCCAACUUUCCUUCAUUUAUAAGUUUGAUAGGCCAAGUUUAUAUUGGGAUUUCCCUAAUUCGUGAUUAAGAUGUUUAUAAUUUUAGGAGAACAGAGAAUUACAGACAUCUUAAAACUUGAGUGUGCCAAAGAAUUACCUAGAACAUUUGUUCAGAUCCCAAGUCCCAUUUCCUGAAAUUUUGAUUCAGUAAGUUUGGGAUGUGAUUCCAGAAAUGUGCAUUUUUAACAAGUACCAUAUGUGAUUCUGCUGCUUUUGGUCCUAGGCCACACUUUGGAAAUGUCUUUAUAAAUUUUCUAUAGGUCUAAGUUGACAUUACUGUUUUCCUUAAUUUUAAUGGGGUUUUGGGGUUUCCUAGCACAGUGCUAGAUGAAGGAUUGAUACUCACUGAAUGGAUGGAUGAACAAAGGAACAAAAGAAGGAGUAGAGCAGAAGAGGUUCUCAGUUAAUAACAGCUAUAUUUUUUCAUUCUAAUCAUAAAGCCAAUAGAAUCAUAUUUUCCAAACACUGUGUAAUUAUAUUGCACUAUGUCUUUGAUGUUCCCAACUAGGGGGAAUAAAGAGGUGUAUUUUGCAUGACCUAUUCUUAAUGAACAUAUGUUGUCUCUUAGUGAUCAUUGCUUUCUGUCCAAGGGCUCACAGUCAUAUUUCUAAUUCUCUGUCUAGAAUUCACUGGAAGCGAAUAAUAUAUAAAACCCCAGAGAUAUCCCUCUGCUACUUUCCGCUUUACUUUUAAGAAAUUGGGGCUCAGGUUUAGUGCUUGACUUAUGGACUUCCCUUCAGGACCUGUUGGUUGUCUCUAUGUCUUAAUAUGUUUGCAGACAGAUAAGAACCAAAGACUUGGACACUUCACAAGGAGCCAUUUCUUACUUUCCCCUAAAUCUAUAUUUUGAAAACUUUCGAAACUCACAGAACAACUCAAAAAUUAAUACAAUAGUUUUGAUCUAGAUCAACAGUUAAUUGUUAGUGUUUUGCCAUAUUGGCUAGAUUUACUUUUCUUCCCGAACCAGUGGGUUUCCAGGUUUCUUUAGUCUCCUUUCCUCUACAACAAUAUCUUUACCCUGUUUUUUUGCCUUUCUGGAUGGGCACUUGAAAUCUGAGUAUCCUAAUUUUUGUUUGUUUAUUCUUUUUCAGUUUUGGUUUUGGAAGCACAUAAAGCUUAAUAAAAUAAUACAAUUAAAGGGGAUUAAACAAAAAAAGCAAACUUUCACAUUUGUUCCUAAAUAGGAAUGGGAGUGGCACAUUAUGGUGUUCACCACCAAUAUUCAGGAAACCAGAGAAGGUUUGUCGUGAGUAAAGAAGAAAGGAAGAGAAGCCUGGGAGGAAAUAUUCUGCACCACUGAGAAGUCUAAGGAAGGUUCAGCAAGGCCAUCAGGAUUUCUCCAGACAAAAUCUGCUAUCAGAUCAGUCCCCCAUCUCCCGAGAAGGGGUGUGCCUGUGUAUUCGUUUUGGCUCUGCUGUGGACUGGGAGAAGUCUGUGGGAAGAGUAGCCUGGGCACAAAUGCAAAGUUGGCUUUUAGAUCCCAAUCCUGGGUCUGCAGGAAGAGAACUCGUAAUGAUUCUCAUGGCUGCCUCACUGAAGGGUCCCUCUGCAUUCUCCAGGUGACCCGCUUACACAUUAUUGCAGGGGUAUGGAGGCCCACCUGUUGCCUUAACUCUGGACAUUUUGGAGCAUCCCAAUGAGGCUUUGUCAAGACUUGACCACAGCUCAGCCUCUUAUUCUGCUCAGUUCUGCUUCCCUCUCUUCACUGCUCAUGUGACUGAACUUGGGAGCACUCCCUGAUCAAACUCUUGUGCACCCACUUACAAGUGCUGCUCCCAGCUCUCACUACCUCCUAACAGAUGGAAUCCUCACAAGGCUAUGAGGUAGGUGCUAUCACACCCCCAUUCUAUCCAUGAGGAAACGGAGGCACAGAGAGUGGCUCAGUGACUGUCCCAAGGUACUCAAACAGCUGGGAAGUGAAAAUUGCUUGCUUCCCAGGUAGGCAUUCUGACUCCCUGACACCCCUUCAUCUGCCACUUACUGCGUUUCUCUGUGACACAGAGAUUCCUGUUAUCAUACCCAGUAUCCUAGUCCUAAUAUAAUUUCAGAUUGUUUUCCUAAACAAAGAUGUAGAGGAACUUCCUUGAGAUUUAGCAUUGGAGAGGAUUUGUCCUUGUUGUGUAAGAAAGGUAUUGUAGGUAAAGGCAGUUCUCACCUGAAUCUUUAUUCUUUCCUAUGGCUUUAGCCCUAACCUGCCCAGUUUUUCUCCAGGAUCAUGAUACACCUGCCACUCCCAGUCUGCAAAAGGAAAGAAUAUAUGUAGCACAAAGAACGAAAUGAGAGAUAAAUAAGCUCCUCUUCCCUAAGACAUGAGCGAGUUCUUAUUCCCUGACCUAUUUGAGUGCAUGCAACAUUCAAAGCUUGUAUAAUGUAGCUAAAUCAGCCUAUUUAGUAUUUAUGCAAUCUGCUCUGUUUUCAACAAGCUCUUAAGAUGUGACUUAUCCAGAAAUCUUCCGAAAUCUGCAAGGUUGCAGCAGACAUCUCUCCAGGGAGACUGAAGGAAUUAUCAAGAUUAUGGCUGCAAUUUAAAGAAAAUCUUUGCACUCUGAUGAGACUCUCAUGCCAAUCAUAGGAUGACCAACUGACCUGGUUUUCCCAGGGUGGAAAGCUUUGCCUGGACACGAGACUUUCUUUGCUGAAACUGGGAGAAUUCUAGGCAAACUGGAACAGUUGGACACCCUAGAAUGGACCCUUUAUGACUCAGCCAUGUUACAUACAGGAAACAUCUGCCUCUCUAUUGUAGAUACUUUCUAUUAUUUCAAAAAGUAUUAAUAUGUUAUGAUUAAUGAGAAAAUCGCCUAUAGAAACUAUGGAAAGGGAUGAAGAAGAAACUAAAAGCUACAUAAGAGCUCAUAAUAUAGUGGCUAUUAUUUAAACUUUUCAACAACUUCUGUGAGAUUUUUUCUGUGUGGGUAUAUACAUAUAUUUUAUAGAUCAAAAACUGCAUUACAAACAGUUCCGUAUCCUGAUUUUUACCUAGCAUGUCCACAUUUUCCCAUGUCAAUGAAUAGCUUUUGAAAAAUCACUGCUAUGGUUGCAUAAUUUCCAUUGAGGAUGUACUUUAUUUAACUAUUCUCCU
rnacentral:lncRNA from 1 species